CUAAUACUCUCUCCGUCCCAAAAUACUUGUCCUAAAAAUAAAUAAAAUGAAUGUAUCUAUAACUAAAAUAAGUCUAGAUACAACCAUUUCGAGGACAAGUAUUUUCGGACGGAGGGAGUAGUGA
rnacentral:pre_miRNA from 1 species